UGGACAGCCCUAGAAACUGAAUUGCUCUGUUUACCCAUAAGAUAGGUACAGCACAUGCAAUUACAGUACAAGCUUCCCUUUCCUUCCUGCCAGCACACUUCAACCCUGAUCUGGAGGGACCACUUCUGGAAUGAGUGCUGUCUCUGCGCCCAGUCAGUCACUGGCUGAU
rnacentral:sRNA from 1 species